UGCGCGGAUAAAUCGACGGAUUGAAAAGCGGCGAUAUUGCUAACCGCCUGACGCGCAUUCUCAAUUAGCGAC
rnacentral:ncRNA from 12 species